UUGCACGCUGGCGGCAGGCCUAACACAUGCAAGUCGAGCGGAUGAAGGGAGCUUGCUCCUGGAUUCAGCGGCGGACGGGUGAGUAAUGCCUAGGAAUCUGCCUGGUAGUGGGGGAUAACGUCCGGAAACGGGCGCUAAUACCGCAUACGCCCUGAGGGAGAAAGUGGGGGAUCUUCGGACCUCACGCUAUCAGAUGAGCCUAGGUCGGAUUAGCUAGUUGGUGGGGUAAAGGCCUACCAAGGCGACGAUCCGUAACUGGUCUGAGAGGAUGAUCAGUCACACUGGAACUGAGACACGGUCCAGACUCCUACGGGAGGCAGCAGUGGGGAAUAUUGGACAAUGGGCGAAAGCCUGAUCCAGCCAUGCCGCGUGUGUGAAGAAGGUCUUCGGAUUGUAAAGCACUUUAAGUUGGGAGGAAGGGCAGUAAGUUAAUACCUUGCUGUUUUGACGUUACCAACAGAAUAAGCACCGGCUAACUUCGUG
rnacentral:rRNA from 1 species